AGCACAGGGCGCUGGGGAACCCGGCUCAGGCCUGUGCAUGGAGCCCUGGCACAGCCUCCUCCACUGAGCCCUGUGCUGUCAGCAGGGAGACACCCUGAGGCCCAGGAGGAAGGAAGUGGAUUUGCAUGAGGCCCCGCCCACCCAGGGGUGAGGAGCCUUGAAGACCACACCCCAGCUGAGGGCUCAGAGCAGAGCCUGGAGCCUCACCAUGGCCUGGACCCUCCUGCUCCCCCUCCUCACACUCUGCACAGGUUCCGUGGCCUCUUCAGGAGUGACUCAGCCCCCAGCAGUGUCUGUGGCCUUGGGACAGGCAACCACGAUCACCUGCCAGGGAGAUUUCGUUAAAAAAUAUUUUCCAAGCUGGUACCAGCAGAAGCCCGGCCAGGUCCCCGUCCUGCUCAUCUAUGCUGACAAAAACAGGACCUCAACUAUCCCUGAGCGAUUCUCUAGUUCUAAGUCAGGGGACAGGGACACCCUGACCAUCACUGGGGCCCAGACCCAGGACGAGGCCGACUAUUACUGUUUAGCCUAUGACGAAAGUGCUAAAGCUCACAGUGACACAGGCGGAUGGGGAAGUGGGACAGAAACCUCCCUGUGUCACCCGCUCCUCCAGCCCUGGGGACUGCAGACCGAGCCCUGAGCAGGUUCAGCCCAGGUCCCACUUCCAGGUCCCCAGCUGCCCCCUCCUCAGCC